rnacentral:misc_RNA from 1 species
UCUUGCAACUCCAGCAGAGCUUGUGUCAGGGUGCUGUGUAUUUUCUAAAAUCAUUGUCUGAAAUUUGUGCUCCAUGCAAACAAGAGAGGGUUCUAUUGUUUGUUUAGGCCAUCCUAAGAACAUUGGAAAGAACAUUGGAAACCACAUUUGGUAUUGUAAUUAUGUUGUGGAACUUGGAAAUGCAUACGGAUUUGUGGAAUUUAGGAGGAACCCUUUUAUAUUGGGUUUAUAUUUGCA